CAAAAUGUCAGACAUAUAUGCCCUGAUCCAAACAGUCCCAGGUUGACAUUUACUGCAUUGUCAAAUAAUAAGGGAACUCCAAUAACUACAUGGUACUAGAGUUCUUCAAUUCAUAGAGUAGAAGAUGCAAAGUAUCUAGUAGUGGGAUGGGAAGUUGAUAAUAAGUAGAAGCUUGACCAAAACAUAGUUAAAAUAUCAGUAGUCUGGUGAAAUAAACUUUAGUAGCUGCUUUUUAUGAAUCAAACACAUGCAGAUCCAUCAACUUCUUUAACUUUGAAACGAAUCAAUUUCAUGUCAGAUUUAUUGAAUAACUCAAAGCUGUGAGGACCUAACUUAUCUACCUCUUUAAGAAUUGGCGAAGAAAAGAGAGUUUGAUGUACUCAUGAUGCUGUUAUAAAGCAAUUUAAAGCUUGAUGGGAGUUUCAACUUGAAAAGAAGCCAUUAUUCAUGACUGAGAAAAUAAAGCAAACAACAUUAAAAGCAAAACACAAGCUCUCUGGUAAGUAGCCAAAAUGCAUUUAGACUUGGUGGAGCAAGAGAUACAUGAGGACAAAAGAAGUGAAAAAGGAAACAGCUGUGAAGGUGUUGGACAAUGAGAAAAGACACAAAUCAACUGGGGUAUGGCAUGUUGAAUGGUAACUACUUAGAGCUUAAGGGACAAGUCAAGCUUCUGCAACUUCUCUUGUUUAGACUUCAAAUGAGCAAAGCUACCAAAACAGUGACCUCCAAAUCCCUCUGUCACUACCCUUGUGGAAAACUUGCCUACUUUUGGAACACUAUCAGCCAAGGAUGACUCAGAUUCUGCCCCCACACGAAAAUUUCCAAUUGCUGGUUGAGAAUCCAAAGGCUGCCUCUGCCACCCAUUGGAACGGCACAACCCAAAAAUGGGUGCUUGAUGAGAAGGUUUGUUAAUCAUGGCAUGAACCUGAAUUCCAAGUGAUUUGUUGUAUAAGCCGUGAGAAGGAAGAAAAGGCAUGGUGGAAUACGUGUGUCCAAAAUCUGCUGCACCUGCUUUGUAUCCUCUUCUUGCUAAAGUUCUUUCACGUUUGUGUGCAUUCUGGUGUCCCCCCAGUGCCUGAGAACUAUAAAACUUUCUUUGGCAGUAGUUGCAUGAGAAAACCCGGGGAUCCAGUUCAUUUCCCUGACUAGAUUCUGAUGAAUUUUCAGAGAAAUUCGUAUGGAAACAAUUGAGGAGGUUGAGUUCUGGCUUUGACUCAUCAUCAUCACCUGAAUCCUUGUUGGAGAGACUUAGAUCUAGUAAGACACGAGGAUUUGAGUCAUUUGGGUGCUUUUGAUCAUCACUUUCUGUGUGAUUCCUCUUUCUUUGAGUGUCUAUGGAAGAUCUUUGGCAUGGCAUAGUAUCUGAAAAUGUGAUCAUGUUCAAGCUCUCAGAAGGGCAUGGCUCUUGCCUUUGAAGAUCCAUGUGGCAAGAAAUUUGCAAUAAUUGCCUCAGUGGUGGUGUUGGUUAUGGAAGUUUGGUUUAACAGGAAGAACAAGAAAAAGAACAAGAACAAGAACAAGAACAAGAAAGAUGGAGUUUGUGAGUGAUGUAACAACAAUAAAUGUAAAGUGGCUUUUUCAUGGAGGCUCUUGUGGCUAAUUUCAAGAUGUAAUCAUUGGAGGCCUUCUGUUUCUGUGUUUGUUCACCAUUCUUUAGACGAAGCUUCUAAUCACACAAGCAAGCAACAACCAUAGAUUUGAAGUGCCUUAAAGCCAUGCAAGAGGAAUAUGCUGCUCUCAUUGCCAAUUACACCUGGACAUUGGUGUCACCACUUCCCAAUGUCGAUGUAGUAGGUAGGCCCUACGUAACUAAGGAUGUGAAAUGGUGUGCACUUUAUGUUUCACACUCAUUUACUCCAUUGCAAUUUAAGAAAAGAAAAAGUCCA
rnacentral:sRNA from 1 species